rnacentral:rRNA from 1 species
UACGAAGGGGGCUAGCGUUGCUCGGAAUUACUGGGCGUAAAGCGCACGUAGGCGGAUUGUUAAGUCGGGGGUGAAAUCCUGGAGCUCAACUCCAGAACUGCCUUCGAUACUGGCGAUCUCGAGUCCGGGAGAGGUGAGUGGAACUGCGAGUGUAGAGGUGAAAUUCGUAGAUAUUCGCAAGAACACCAGUGGCGAAGGCGGCUCACUGGCCCGGUACUGACGCUGAGGUGCGAAAGCGUGGGGAGCAAACAGG